AAUAAGUGUAGUUUUGCACUAUUCACGUUCAACGUUUAACCGUUCGUCUUAUUUGAAUUUUUUUAUGAUUAGUAUUUUUAUUGCUAUUAGAUGAUAAAACAGGAAUAAUACUUUAUGUGUGACUAAAUAUUUUUAAAUUUUUCAUAAAUAUUUUAAAUAAGACGGACGGUCAAACGUUGGGUACGGAUAUCCACGGCUAACAUUAUU
rfam:Oryza barthii chromosome 4, whole genome shotgun sequence.